UUCGGAAUAACAGUGAGAAAUUACUGCUAAUACCGGAUGAUGUCUUCGGACCAAAGAUUUAUCGCCUUUAGAUGGGCCCGCGUUGGAUUAGCUAGUUGGGUGGGGUAAAGGCCUACCAAGGCGACGAUCCAUAGCUGGUCUGAGAGGAUGAUCAGCCACACUGGGACUGAGACACGGCCCAGACUCCUACGGGAGGCAGCAGGUGGGGAAUAUUGGACAAUGGGCGAAAGCCUGAUCCAGCAAUGCCGCGUGAGUGAUGAAGGCCUUAGGGUUGUAAAGCUCUUUUACCCGAGAUGAUAAUGACAGUAUCGGGAGAAUAAGCUCCGGCUAACUCCGUG
rnacentral:rRNA from 1 species